rnacentral:rRNA from 1 species
AGAGUUUGAUCCUGGCUCAGGAUGAACGCUGGCGGCGUGCCUAACACAUGCAAGUCGAACGGAGAUUAUUCGCUGCGGAGCCUUCGGGCGAAGCUUGAAUGAUCUUAGUGGCGGACGGGUGAGUAACGCGUGGGCAACCUGCCUUGCACAGGGGGAUAGCAGUUGGAAACGACUGGUAAUACCGCAUAUCUUAGAGAGACCGCAUGAUCUUUUAAGAAACGUUAGUGGUGCAAGAUGGGCCCGCGUCCGAUUAGAUAGUUGGUGGGGUAACGGCCUACCAAGUCGACGAUCGGUAGCCGACCUAAGAGGGCGGACGGCCACAUUGGGACUGAGACACGGCCCAGACUCCUACGGGAGGCAGCAGUGGGGAAUAUUGCACAAUGGAGGGAACUCUGAUGCAGCGACGCCGCGUGAGUGAAGAAGUAUUUCGGUAUGUAAAGCUCUAUCAGUAGGGAAGAUAAUGACGGUACCUACAUAAGAAGCCCCGGCUAAAUACGUG